UUUCUGCAAAUUUGGUUAUCAUUUGCUUUUAUCCAUUUGUAGUUUGACAUCUGCAAAUUUGGUCACCAUGAGCUAGCCUUUUUCAUUAGUAGUUCAUUGUCUAGAACAAUCUGUUGCUGCUAAUUCCCUAUAGAGAAACAUUAAUCCUGGAUCAGCAUUGUCUCAUAAUUUAUUUUCUCUGGGAAACAAAAAUAAACAAAAAAAAGGGCAACGAUCAAAGACCGGUGAUCUCUGGUUCUUGAAGAACCUAAAGAUGCUGACCUGAAAGAGCCUUCAGGAUUGUAACUUCAUGCGAUGAUUAUAAAUCUUGUAAGCGAUAAUGACAAUGAGUCUAACUCAUCCCUUUCCAUUGAAGGCCUGGCAGGCCCCAAAACAGGAAAUUUGACAGAUCCACUUUUUACUGAUAAUCAAACCAACCGAGGGAACAUGAGGUGAGAGGGCAUGAGUUCAUUCCCACUUGACUAGUUUAGGGGUUGUGUGACUGACUACUGGAUUUGAGAUUUUACUUGUUUGGUGCAAUUAGUACAGCUCUAAAGGAGUGAUCUGGCUCAAAUGGGAUUUUUUGUUUGAAAAAAAAGACUACUCUGGUUUUUCAUGUAGUCAUGGCAAAAUUAUGAUCACAGACACUAAUCACAUGGAUUGGCCCCAACCCUCUUAAAUAUGCAUCUGAAUUGUUGUUCAACCUAUCUCACAAGCAUACCAAAUACGACAAUGCCCUUCACCUGCAAUUUGCAAAGAAUGUUUCUCUCAGUUGAGAGCAAGAAAGCAUCAAAAGAAAAUUAAAUACACAAAUCUCCGCAUUCUCUUCUAUUAAAAAUGAGUCAAUAAAAUCGAUGCAUUUGGUUCCAUGGUUUUUGUACUGAGAAGGAUAAGGGGCAUGUUCCUCAAUGAUUUUUUUUUUUCCCAAUAGUACUGGUGAUGGCGACAAGCAUAUGAAGAUAUGAAAAUGAAAACAAAACCAGCUAACAGUUCCAUUGUAGCGGUAGAAUUAAUUGAAGGGGCAUGAAAGAGCUGGAGAAAGAUAAACAGGGAUCAAGCAUGGGCGAUCUAAUCUUAUCAUGGCAUUUAUAUCAGUGUUCUGUAGUCACUUUGAUUGCGAUUUAUAGAAAGAAAAUAUCAUCACUAAUAAAUGAUAGAGAUGAUAAGGGAAAACAACCUUCUGCAGUUGGCCCUGUCUUA